UACGUAGGGGGCAAGCGUUGUCCGGAUUUAUUGGGCGUAAAGAGCGUGUAGGCGGCCAGACAGGUCCAUUGUGAAAACUGGAGGCUCAACCUCCAGACGUCGAUGGAAACCGUCUGGCUAGAGUCCGGAAGAGGAGAGUGGAAUUCCUGGUGUAGCGGUGAAAUGCGCAGAUAUCAGGAAGAACACCCGUGGCGAAAGCGGCUCUCUGGGACGGUACUGACGCUGAGACGCGAAAGCGUGGGGAGCGAACAGGG
rnacentral:rRNA from 1 species